rnacentral:rRNA from 1 species
UACGGAGGGUGCGAGCGUUAUCCGGAAUUACUGGGUUUAAAGGGUGCGUAGGCGGCCAAGUAAGUCAGGAGUGAAAGUUUGCGGCUCAACCGUAAAAUUGCUUUUGAUACUGCUUAGCUAGAAUCAGGAUGAGGUUAGCGGAAUGUGGCAUGUAGCGGUGAAAUGCAUAGAUAUGCCAUAGAACACCAAUUGCGAAGGCAGCUGGCUAGACCUGUAUUGACGCUGAGGCACGAAAGCGUGGGGGGCGAACGGG